rnacentral:ncRNA from 1 species
GGGUCUGGCAAUGAAAUGCGUGCCAGAGGAUAAAGAUGGUCGGGCCGCCAUCU